GUGGCCAGGGAGCCGCAGGCAAGGGACUAAGGGGAGGGGGGCUCAGUGCCAGCUGCUUAAAAAUGCCCCUGUGGCAGCGAGGGGCACCAGAGGCUGGGUCUAAUUAGUUGAGAAGCAGUGACACCCCCAACCACUCCCCAAACAGGCUGGCUCCCGUCUCCAGGCCCCAAGGAGCCACACCUGGACCAGACCCCAGGAAAGGCAAGGGCGCUAGCUGGUGGGAGCCACCCCGCCAUGCUGAUGUCAGAGAAGCAAGAACUCUGGAGAAGCAGCCUCCUGGGACCAGAGGAGGGCCAGCAGCAGGCAGCCCGGAGACAGAACUGUGAGCCCACCCCACCUCCACCCUUCCGGCACCCACAUCCGCUCCCCACCCCAGCCCACCUGCAGGUGGCUCCUGGAGUAUCCUGGGUCCCUCAGGAUAAACUCCCCACCCUAACCUCAGAAUGACCAAGAAACUGGGCCUGAGGAUGACAAGAAGCAGAAUGGGCCUUGGUAAAGGAAGACCCCCCACUGAUUGGUGGCAGUGCGGGCAGUUCAGGGCUGUCAGCGUCUGGGUUGUAGGUAAAAAGAAAUGGAACCCAAGAAGGGAAAUCCAACUAGGAGCCAAGAAUCCGGUCUACCCCAUCCUCCUUACGAAAUAGCAAUGCAAAGCCCGUGUGAUUUGGACAUAAAGCCUCUGUUACUCAACUU
rnacentral:lncRNA from 10 species